CGUCAGAUUCAGCAUAUCAAUAAGCGGAGGAAAGACAUCAACAGGGAUGCCCCAGUAACGGCGAGUGAAGCGGCAACAGCUCAAAUUUGAAAUCUGGCUUCGGCCCGAGUUGUAAUUUGUAGAGGAUGCUUUUGGUGAGGUGCCUUCUGAGUUCCCUGKAACGGGACGCCGAGAGGGUGAGAGCCCCGUAUAGUUGGACACCAGCCUCUGUAAAGCUCCUUCGACGAGUCGAGUAGUUUGGGAAUGCUGCUCAAAAUGGGAGGUAUAUCUCUUCUAAAGCUAAAUACUGGCCAGAGACCGAUAGCGCACAAGUAGAGUGAUCGAAAGAUGAAAAGCACUUUGAAAAGAGGGUUAAAUAGUACGUGAAAUUGUUGAAAGGGAAGCGCUUGUGACCAGACUUGUGCCCGGUGAUCAUCCAGUGUUCUCCUGGUGCACUCUCCGGGCUCAGGCCAGCGUCGGUUCUCGCAGGGGGACAAAAGCUUCGGGAACGUAGCUCCUCCGGGAGUGUUAUAGCCCKUUGCUCAAUACC
rnacentral:rRNA from 1 species